rnacentral:lncRNA from 1 species
AAGAGUAUCUCAUAUCAUGCGUUCUCCCUGUCCUUUCCUUUGUCCUUUUUCUUACCUACAAAGACAAGGAUAAAGAAAACAAUAUGCCGGAACCUCCACUUAAACUCGGAUGCCACAUUUGCCUGGAGAACAGAUAAGGCAAGUGAAAAUGAUACCUUGCAGCAUGUGGAGACAACGUGCAGAAGAAACAAACAGAGAAGAAUGCAGUCUUCACAGUCAGCUCAGCAGAAGGAGUCCGAGCUGAGGAACUCAAGAAGCUGCCACAUCUGCCUGAAGAAACAAGCAGAGAAGAAUGCAGCUUGCACAGUCAGCUCAGCAGAAGGAGUCUGAGCUGAAGAACUUGAGAAGAUGCUACAUUCUGCCAGAAGAAUAGAUAAGACAAGGGAAAAUGAUACAUUGAAGCAUGUGGAGACAAGCACAACAAAGCACGUGCCGAUUCAUCCGCUACUUCUUCAAAAUCAAAAGUAUCUCAUAUCAUCAGGUUUGCAAUCACUCUGGGUGGAGGACUUGUUUUGACCCCCAAAUUCUUGGGUCGACUUGCUAGGCGUUGUGGGCUGCAUGUGCCAUUUCACCACCCUUGAAUCAAAUCCUUAAAGAUCAAGUCACCAACUGGAAGAAGAGCCCAUCAAUCUUAAAGAUCAUACCGUUGACCAAACUGCUCAGGUGUGAAUUAGAAAGAUUGAACAAAGCAACAAGUCGUCACCUUCAC